GAAACCUGUCCCGAAGACUGGAAUAACCCGAGGAAACUCGGGCUAAUACCGGAUAUCCCCACCGGAUCGCAUGGUCUGGUGAGGAAAUGCUCCGGCGCUUCGGGAGGGUCUCGCGGCCUAUCAGCUAGUUGGUGAGGUAACGGCUCACCAAGGCAUCGACGGGUAGCUGGUCUGAGAGGACGAUCAGCCACACUGGGACUGAGACACGGCCCAGACUCCUACGGGAGGCAGCAGUGGGGAAUCUUGCGCAAUGGGCGAAAGCCUGACGCAGCCACGCCGCGUGAGGGAUGAAGGCUUUCGGGUUGUAAACCUCUUUCAGCAGGGACGAAAAUGACGGUACCUGCAGAAGAAGCCCCGGCCAACUACGUGCCAGCAGCCGCGGUAACACGUAGGGGGCAAGCGUUGUCCGGAUUUAUUGGGCGUAAAGAGCUCGUAGGCGGUUCAGUAAGUCGGGUGUGAAAACUUGAGGCUCAACCUCAAGAGGCCACUCGAUACUGCUGUGACUGGAGUCCGGUAGAGGAGUGUGGAAUUCCUGGUGUA
rnacentral:rRNA from 1 species